rnacentral:lncRNA from 1 species
ACUCAAUUUGCAACUCCUUAUGCUUUUGGCUCAAAGCAUGGAAACACUCUUCCCACAUAUCCUUCUCUUGUUUCAUCUUGGUGAGCGCGUCUUCCAACUCCUCUACAUCUUGGUUAGGGAGAGUUAAUGGCUCAACCACAACCAUAGACAUAGGUCUUUCACAAGGAUAUGGCAUCUUCAACUCCAAAGCUCUCUUCUUCACCCAAAGAAGCGCGUCUUCCAACUCCUCUACAUCUUGGUUAGGGAGAGUUAAUGGCUCAACCACAACCAUAGACAUAGGUCUUUCACAAGGAUAUGGCAUCUUCAACUCCAAAGCUCUCUUCUU